rnacentral:rRNA from 1 species
UGGCUCAGGAUGAACGCUGGCGGCGUGCUUAACACAUGCAAGUCGAACGGACUUUUAAUGAAGCCUAGCGAUUUAAAAGUUAGUGGCGGACGGGUGAGUAACACGUGAGCAACCUGCCUAUUACAGGGGGAUAACAUUUAGAAAUGAAUGCUAAUACCGCAUAUGACCACGAACCGACAUCGGUUAGGGGUGAAAGGAAUCAAAUCUGGUAAUAGAGGGGCUUGCGCAUCAUUAGCUAGUUGGUAAGGGUAACGGCCUACCAAGGCGACGAUGAUUAGCCGAUCUGAGAGGAUGAACGGCCACACUGGAACUGAGAUACGGUCCAGACUCCUACGGGAGGCAGCAGUCGAGAAUCAUUCACAAUGGGCGCAAGCCUGAUGGUGCGACGCCGCGUGGGGGAGGAAGGUCUUCGGAUUGUAAACCCCUGUCAUGUGGGAGCAAGACUUCGGUUUGAUAGUACCACAAGAGGAAGAGACGGCAAACUCUGUGCCAGCAGCCGCGGUAAUACAGAGGUCUCAAGCGUUGUUCGGAAUCACUGGGCGUAAAGGGUACGUAGGCGGCAUCAUAAGUCAUGCGUGAAAGGCAAGGGCUCAACCUCUGGAGUGCGCGUGAUACUGUGAUGCUGGAGUAAUGGAGGGGGAACCGGAAUUCUUGGUGUAGCAGUGAAAUGCGUAGAUAUCAAGAAGAAGACUCGUGGCGAAGGCGGGUUCCUGGACAUUUACUGACGCUGAGGUACGAAGGCCAGGGUAGCGAAAGGGAUUAGAUACCCCUGUAGUCCUGGCAGUAAACGGUGCACGUUUGGUGUGCGGGGAAUCGACCCCCUGCGUGCCGGAGUUAACACGUUAAACGUGCCGCCUGGGGAGUACGGUCGCAAGAUUAAAACUCAAAGAAAUUGACGGGGACCCGCACAAGCGGUGGAGUAUGUGGCUUAAUUCGAUGCAACGCGAAGAACCUUACCAAGGCUUGACAUCCCGUGACCGUCUGUGAAAGCAGAUUUUCUAUUCGUAGACACGGAGACAGGUGCUGCAUGGCCGUCGUCAGCUCGUGUCGUGAGAUGUUUGGUUAAGUCCAGCAACGAGCGCAACCCCUGCUGCCAGUUACCAUCAUUAAGUUGGGGACUCUGGCGGGACUGCCCAGAUCAACUGGGAGGAAGGUGGGGACGACGUCAGGUCAGUAUGGCCCUUAUGCCUUGGGCUGCACACGUACUACAAUGCCCAGUACAGAGGGAAGCCAACCCGCGAGGGUGAGCGGAUCCCGAAAAGUGGGCCCAGUUCGGAUUGGAGGCUGCAACUCGCCUCCAUGAAGCCGGAAUCGCUAGUAAUGGCGCAUCAGCUAUGGCGCCGUGAAUACGUUCCCGGGUU